AUUGAACGCUGGCGGCAGGCUUAACACCUGCAAGUCGAACGAGUGGCGGACGGGUGAGUAAUGCUUGGGAAUCUGGCUUAUGGAGGGGGAUACCGACGGGAAACUGUCGCUAAUACCGCGUACCAUAGGCAGAGCCCAAGUGGGAUUAGGUAGUAGGUGGGGUAAUGGACUACCAAGCCGACGAUCUCUAGCUGGUCUGAGAGGAUGACCUGCCACUGCGGGACUGGGACACCGCCCGGACUCCUACGGGAGGCAGCAUUGGGGAAUAUUGCGCAAUGGGUGCAACCUGACGCAGCCAUGCCGCGUGAAUGAAGAAGGCCUUCGGGUUGUAAAGUUCUUUCGGUGACGAGGCGUUAAUCACAGAAGAAGCACAGGCUAACUCCGUGCCAGCAGCCGCGGGAAUAC
rnacentral:rRNA from 1 species